rnacentral:tRNA from 1 species
GGUGUGGCCUAAUGGUUAAGGCUCCAGGUUGUGGUCCCGGCGAUUGAGGGUUCGAAUCCCUUCAC